ensembl:lncRNA
GUGUUAUAGAGAUGUUAAAGAUCUAUAGAGAUGUCAUAGAGGUGUUAUAGAUAUAUAGAAAUGUCAUAGAGCUGUUAUAGAGGUGUUAAAGGUGUUAUAGAGAUGGUAUACAGGUGUUAUAGAGAUGGUAUAGAGGUGUUAUAGAGAUGUUAUACCGAUGUUAUGGUGAAGUUAUAGAGAUGUUAUAGAGAUGGUAUAGAUAAGUUAUGCAGAUGUUAUACAGGUGUUAUAGUGGUGUUAUAGUGAAGUAAUAGAGAUGUUAGAGAUGUUAUACAGAUGUUAUACAGAUGUUAUACAGGUGUUAUACAUGUGUUAUACAGGUGUUAUAGUGGUGUUAAAGGUGUUAUAGAGGUCUUACAGGUAUUAUAGAGGUGUUAAAGGUGUUAUAGAGAUGUUAUACCGGUGAUAUAGAUAUGAUAUAGAGAUGUUAUAGAGAUGUUAUGGUGGUGUUAUGGAGAUGUUAUAUAGGUGUUACAGAGGUGUUAUAUAUAUGUUACAGGGGUGUUAUAGUGAUAUAGAUGUGUUGUAGAGGUAUUAUGGAGUUGUUAUAGGGAUGUUAUAG